GGGGAGUGGGGACCUGCUAAAAUGCAGUCGACGCUUUGUGGUUCACUGAUUUGAAGAGCUUGCUCAGAUAUGACGAUGGACAUUGCAAAGAGUGGCGAACGGGUGAGUAACACGUGGGAAACCUACCUCUUAGCAGGGGAUAACAUUUGGAAACAGAUGCUAAUACCGUAUAACAAUGACAACCGCAUGGUUGUUAUUUAAAAGAUGGUUCUGCUAUCACUAAGAGAUGGUCCCGCGGUGCAUUAGCUAGUUGGUAAGGUAAUGGCUUACCAAGGCGAUGAUGCAUAGCCGAGUUGAGAGACUGAUCGGCCACAAUGGGACUGAGACACGGCCCAUACUCCUACGGGAGGCAGCAGUAGGGAAUCUUCCACAAUGGGCGAAAGCCUGAUGGAGCAACGCCGCGUGUGUGAUGAAGGGUUUCGGCUCGUAAAACACUGUUGUAAGAGAAGAAUGACAUUGAGAGUAACUGUUCAAUGUGUGACGGUAUCUUACCAGAAAGGAACGGCUAAAUACGUGCCAGCAGCCGCGGUAAUACGUAUGUUCCAAGCGUUAUCCGGAUUUAUUGGGCGUAAAGCGAGCGCAGACGGUUAUUUAAGUCUGAAGUGAAAGCCCUCAGCUCAACUGAGGAAUUGCUUUGGAAACUGGAUGACUUGAGUGCAGUAGAGGAAAGUGGAACUCCAUGUGUAGCGGUGAAAUGCGUAGAUAUAUGGAAGAACACCAGUGGCGAAGGCGGCUUUCUGGACUGUAACUGACGUUGAGGCUCGAAAGUGUGGGUAGCAAACAGGAUUAGAUACCCUGGUAGUCCACACCGUAAACGAUGAGUGCUAGGUGUUUUGAGGGUUUCCGCCCUUAAGUGCCGCAGCUAACGCAUUAAGCACUCCGCCUGGGGGAGUACGACCGCAAGGUUGAAACUCAAAGGAAUUGACGGGGACCCGCACAAGCGGUGGAGCAUGUGGUUUAAUUCGAAGCAACGCGAAGAACCUUACCAGGUCUUGACAUCCCUUGACACUCCAGAAGAUGGAGUGUUCCCUUCGGGGACAAGGUGACAGGUGGGUGCAUGGGUUGUCGUCAGCUCCUGUCGUGAGAAGUUUGGGUUAAUUCCCCCCACCAACCGCACCCCUUAUUACUUAUUUGCCACCAUUCCAUUUGGGCACUCUAUUGGAGAAUGGCCGUGGACAACCCGAGGAAAGGGGGGGGGUGAGAGCAAAAUAUAAUUGGCCCCUUAUAACCGGGGGGUACACCCUGGCUUCAAAGGGGGGUUUACAACAAUUUGCCACCCCCCCCAGGGGGGGGGAAUCUCUUUAAAAAAAUCUCCCUUCCCUGAAUUGAGGGGGGCACACUCCCUCACUUAAAAAUGGGAAACCUUUUUAAUUCGGGUAAAAACCCCCCGCGGAAUAAAUUUUCCCGGGUUUUUUCCACCCGCCCGCCCCCCCCGAAAAUUUGGUACCCCCAACCCCCGGGGGGGAACUUUUGGGCACCCCCCUAUGGGGGCAUAUAUUGGGGUCAAGGGAGGGGGGGGCCCCCGGGGGGGGGCGCCCCUCUUCAGCAAACCCCGGAAGGGAGAGGGGGGGGGGGGGGGAGAGGGGGGGGGGGGGGGGAAGGGGAGAAAGGGGGGGAGAGGGCGGAGGGGGGGGGGGGGGGG
rnacentral:rRNA from 1 species